UCUUCCAGUAGGACGAGCAGGAUGUGGUGUGCUUGCCCAGCAGUGUUGCCAGGGGUGGAGGAGAAAGGUUCCGCCUGCCUGCUCCAGGAGGCAUGCUGCAGGCAACUUGCAGGCCAUGUGUCGCAUCGAUCCUCAGGACCCCAUUCCAAUAGGUGAAGCAAGUCUCAAUGCUUUGGCCCUUGCCCUCAUUUUCGGCUUCUCCAUGAGGGGUGGUGGAGGACCCCACCGAAGGCCAU
rnacentral:lncRNA from 1 species